GGUGGUUCUCAAGUGACGCACCCCAGAAUUGGGCUUCCUCCUCUCUCGUUCCAGGUGUAUAACCCAAGAACUGCA
rfam:Myotis brandtii contig203249, whole genome shotgun sequence.